CACGGGGGGAGCAAGCGUUGUUCGGAAUCACUGGGCGUAAAGGGCGUGUAGGCGGUCAGGUAAGUGGGAUGUGAAAUGCCCCGGCUCACCCGGGGACCGGCAUCCCAUACUGCUUGGCUUGAGUACGGGAGAGGAUGUGGGAAUUCCUGGUGUAGCGGUGAAAUGCGUAGAUAUCAGGAGGAACACCGGUGGCGAAGGCGCACAUCUGGCCAGAUACUGACGCUGAGGCGCGAAAGCUAGGGGAGCAAACGGG
rnacentral:rRNA from 1 species